rnacentral:rRNA from 1 species
UUCGUAGCUGGUCUGUUAAGUCUCUGGGGAAAUCUACUGGCUUAACCAAUAGGCGUCUCAGGGAUACUGGCAGACUAGGGACCGGGAGAGGUGAGAGGUACUCCAGGGGUAGGAGUGAAAUCCUGUAAUCCUUGGGGGACCACCUGUGGCGAAGGCGUCUCACCAGAACGGCUCCGACAGUGAGGGACGAAAGCUGGGGGAGCAAACC